rnacentral:rRNA from 1 species
GAUGAACGCUGGCGGCGUGCUUAACACAUGCAAGUCGAACGAUGAAGCCCAGCUUGCUGGGUGGAUUAGUGGCGAACGGGUGAGUAACACGUGAGUAACCUGCCCUUGACUCUGGGAUAAGCCUGGGAAACUGGGUCUAAUACUGGAUAUGACUUCUCAUCGCAUGGUGGGGGGUGGAAAGAUUUAUUGGUCUUGGAUGGACUCGCGGCCUAUCAGCUUGUUGGUGAGGUAAUGGCUCACCAAGGCGACGACGGGUAGCCGGCCUGAGAGGGUGACCGGCCACACUGGGACUGAGACACGGCCCAGACUCCUACGGGAGGCAGCAGUGGGGAAUAUUGCACAAUGGGCGCAAGCCUGAUGCAGCGACGCCGCGUGAGGGAUGACGGCCUUCGGGUUGUAAACCUCUUUCAGUAGGGAAGAAGCGAGAGUGACGGUACCUGCAGAAGAAGCGCCGGAUAACUACGG